GCGCUCUUUCGCAGGUGCGUAGCUGUCAACUAACCAAAACAAACCAUCUCUCCGCACCAAAUUUUCUCAUCCGGCAGCUCCCACUUUUAAUUUAUGUUUUAAAGCAAAUUAACAGUAUAAAAAUACAUACCGCCAACUCAAAUUGUUUUACUGAACCGCGCAUAGUCCCGUGGCAAAUCGAAUCAACACCCGUCAGCUGAAUGCAAAGGUUGUCAGGCAAUGCAAAUGUUUCCGUCGUAAUCUGUGCCCGCAGUAUAUGGCCUUACCGAUCGGUGCUCGAGCAGGAAAUAGUGCAUCAAAUCCGAAGUGUCUCAUGAUUCUGGAAUACUAUUUGUGCAAUGACUUCAUAGCGGAGUGAGCAAACGAUUCUGAUACGAGCCAAGUGUAUGCCAGGACGAAACAGAAAAUGAUUCUAUACCGCUCUAGUUUCGAUCAUUAUGGAAACGAUGACUUUCCCCGGGCUUCGCUCUUCAAAAUUACCUAAAGUUAUUGGGUCAUGAUAUCCAAGUCGAUGUAGACGAUACUCAGGCAUGGUGGCAUGAUGCAGAGCCUGGAAUACCUGUUUCAGCGAGCUAUCUUACGCGCUGUGUUAAUACGCUACAUCUUGUUGACACUUUUCGGCCGGAAAAGAGCCUGCUACUCAACUUGCUAUUAUAUGCACUACCACAGAGUUUUUUUGUGUUUUUUCAUUGAGCGCACAUCGCGUAGAGGCCAAUCCGUGAUUGGAUGAAGUCCGAUUCUCUGUGCAAAUUGGACAAAGAACCUAUGAAUGGGUUUUGGCGCCAACCCUGAUUGUGGACAGAUCGAGAGCUUCCAGCAUUGAUAAUGUCGAAAGCGAUGCUAGCUUCGUCUUAACGGUCAUCAGUGUAGUACAGAUUUAUUAUAAAAGGACGAUGCAAAAAUUGAAAUAAAAAACUUUUGUGGGAUAUGAUUUAUAUAUUUUAAAUUCAAAUGAUCGAAAAAAUAAAAUGAAACACGAAAAGAAAAUAAUGUACGCCUAAAAUAAUGCUCUUUUGUAUGAUUGAUUUCAUCCGUUACAACAGAUAUGAAAAUUACCGUACUUUAUCGAUGAACUCCAUCAAUCCUGUUUAUUUCUUAGUGAGUUUUGCUUUCUUGGCCUGAAAUCAUUUAAUAAUCAAUUAUUUUAGCAAAACAUUUAAAUAUAUCAACCUACCUUAGGUAA